AAGUCGUAACAAGGUUUCCGUAGGUGAACCUGCGGAAGGAUCAUUAAUGAGUUCAUGCCCUAACGGGUAGAUCUCCCACCCUAUGUUAUUAUUACUUUGUUGCUUUGGCGGGCCGUCAGGCUCACGCCCGACUACCGGCUCCGGCUGGUAAGCGCCCGCCAGAGGACCCCAAACCCUGAAUAUUAGUGUCGUCUGAGUACUAUAUAAUAGUUAAAACUUUCAACAACGGAUCUCUUGGUUCUG
rnacentral:misc_RNA from 1 species